UACGUAGGGUGCAAGCGUUUAUCGGAAUUACUGGGCGUAAAGCGUGCGCAGGCGGUUAUAUAAGUCAGAUGUGAAAUCCCUGGGCUCAACCUAGGAACUGCAUUUGAGACUGUAUGGCUAGAGUGUGUCAGAGGGGGGUAGAAUUCCACGUGUAGCAGUGAAAUGCGUAGAGAUGUGGAGGAAUACCGAUGGCGAAGGCAGCCCCCUGGGAUAACACUGACGCUCAUGCACGAAAGCGUGGGGAGCAAACAGGAUUAGAUACCCUGGUAGUCCACGCCCUAAACGAUGUCUACUAGUUGUCGGGACUUAAUUGUCUUGGUAACGCAGCUAACGCGUGAAGUAGACCGCCUGGGGAGUACGGUCGCAAGAUUAAAACUCAAAGGAAUUGACGGGGACCCGCACAAGCGGUGGAUGAUGUGGAUUAAUUCGAUGCAACGCGAAAAACCUUACCUACCCUUGACAUGGUUGGAAUUCCGAAGAGAUUUGGAAGUGCUCGCAAGAGAACCAAUGCACAGGUGCUGCAUGGCUGUCGUCAGCUCGUGUCGUGUGAUGUUGGGUUAAGUCCCGCAACGAGCGCAACCCUUGUCAUUAGUUGCUACAUUCAGUUGAGCACUCUAAUGAGACUGCCGGUGACAAACCGGAGGAAGGUGGGGACGACGUCAAGUCCUCAUGGCCCUUAUGGGUAGGGCUUCACACGUCAUACAAUGGUACAUACAGAGGGCUGCCAAACCGCGAGGUGGAGCUAAUCCCAGAAAGUGUAUCGUAGUCCGGAUUGUAGUCUGCAACUCGACUACAUGAAGUUGGAAUCGCUAGUAAUCGCGGAUCAGCAUGUCGCGGUGAAUACGUUCCCGGGUCU
rnacentral:rRNA from 1 species